AACGUCGCCGCCAACGCCGCCCUUAGGGGCGCGCAGUUGGGGGCGGAAUAUGGCCUCCCGUGCGCCUCGGCGCGCGGUUGGCCUAAAUAUCAACCCCCGGCGAGGAUCGCCACGACAAGCGGUGGUUUUUUCAACGAAGGACCUCGGGUGUUGUCGUGCGGCCUUCCGGAGGGAACGGACCCUGCGCCCUCGAGCGCAAUCUCUU
rnacentral:misc_RNA from 1 species